CCUUCGGGUCGUAAAGUUCUUUCGUCUGGGAACAAAAGAAGUUGGCUAACAUCCAGCUAAUCUGAGGGUACCAGAAGAAGAAGCACCGGCUAACUCCGUGC
rnacentral:rRNA from 1 species